UUUUCUGUAUUCACCUUAAUGGAAAAUACAAUGACCUGUCCGCUGUGGGUGACCUUCUCCCCAGUACUCGACACAGCGGCGCUGAGCUGUCUCCCAGUAUGUACGGCUACACAUGCCAAGGACCGUGGAACAAAAAAAGAGCUCCGGUAACUCCUUAC